UACAGGGGGAGCAAGCGUUGUUCGGAAUUACUGGGCGUAAAGGGCUCGUAGGCGGCCAACUAAGUCCGACGUGAAAUCCCAAAGCUUAACUUUGGAACUGCGUCGGAUACUGGAUGGCUUGAAUUCGGGAGAGGGAUGCAGAAUUCCAGGUGUAGCGGUGAAAUGCGUAGAUAUCUGGAGGAAUACCGGUGGCGAAGGCGGCAUCCUGGACCGACAUUGACGCUGAGGAGCGAAAGCUAGGGGAGCAAACGGGG
rnacentral:rRNA from 1 species